UGGGAUAUAGCCAAGUGGUAAGGCAACGGAUUUUGAUUCCGUGACCCGCAGGUUCGAAUCCUGCUAUCCCAGCCA
rnacentral:tRNA from 1 species